rnacentral:lncRNA from 1 species
UCUGAUACUCUGGGUGAAGAUUGGAAGGGUUAUGUGGUCCAAGUGAGUGGUGGGAAUGACAAACAAGGUUUUCCCAUGAUGCAAGGGGUCUUCACAACAGCCUGCUGUCAAGUAAGGGGCAUUAUUGUUAUAAAUCAAAAAGAACUAGCAGAAGGAAGUGGAAGUCUGUUCAGGAUGCAUUCUGGAUGGCAGUCUGAGUGUUCUUAACUUGGUCAUUGUGUAAAAAAGAGAGAGGAGGCUAUUCCUGGAUUGACAGGGCUUCAGUGUUUCAGGACCAAGAGCAAGUAGAAUCUAAAAUCUUCAGUCUCUCUAAAGAAAAUGAUGUCCACCAAUAUGUUGUCAGAAAGCCCUUUAAAUAGAGGGUAAGAAGGCCAGGACCAAACCAUCCAAGAUUUUGUGUCAUGUUAAUCCACCUGUCCUACAACACAGACACUGACAUAUUGCCCUGGAGAAAUAAGGUGCUAAUUAUUAGGACAGCUAUCCCCUUGCAAGGAAGGGGAGAAGAGGAUGAGAGGGAACAGUCCCACCUCUCACCUAGAAUAUGCUAAACUUUUGGCCAAGAGAAUGAAGGAUGCCAACAAAAAAUGCCAGAAACAGAUUACCAAGAGACAUAGGUUGUUCUUGGUGAG